GGAGUGUACUACCAUUCCCCCCUGGAAACACUGCAGAAAGCAGGGGGGCUCCUUUCCCUGCAGGACCUGGACCUUUCAAUGGAAACGCAUUCCAGAAGGGGAGCUAUGUGUGCUUUCAAAGCUGGUCCUUAACGUUCCCUGCUGCACAACACCGAAGGUUAGUGGAUUCCCACCCGCCAAAUCCCCUCUUACUGCCUUUAUUGCCAACACGCGGCACGGAUGGUUACUGCAGCUGGACAACUGCACCACGCCAAGGAGCAGAGACUCGCAAUAGCGACUCUUUGGGAAGGACGCUUAUUUUGGGGAGACUCAUGUUAUCUCAUCUUCAAGCACAGAGCAUACAACGGACCGUUUCGCUGAGCAUUUCACCGACAGGAACCACGCGCAGUUUCGACUGUGUAUUUAUUCUACCAGAUCCACAAAGCCUGUUCGUGCUCUCAGCCUCAGAGGAAACAGCUUCUUUUAUUUUUAAUAAAUCUUUUGUGCAUAACUACACCAUUUGGUUCCAGUUCGAAAUCAUCCAGAUAUACUUUACUUCAGACUUUAAUUUAAGCAGCAGACAGCCACAUGGCCACCAGACACGACAGCAGGAAGGGAGAGCACGAGGACACAGAACAGGAAGUGGCACAGCCCAACCUGGAGGCCUCCUGCUACGGCCUCAGGAUUUCAGAAUUUGAAACUGCUUGGAACGCUGAUCAGGCAGAGGAAGGCAGGGUUGAGGAAAUAAAUACACGCUGAAGCGGGUUCCCGCAGGUAUCGCCCAUCCUUCCAAAUCGCUCUUUGGCUGCGAACGGAGACCGGGCUGCAUACACCCCGCGAGCCUGAUGAGCAGUGCUUCUGGGGCCUGCUGCCGCCCCUGCCCAUCACUUCCUGUCUCGUCACGACUACGGCUUCUGAAGUCACCCCCACGGCACAUCAAGGAGAGGGCCCGUUCGGAGGGAGACCGCCCGGGGGAGGCCACGGCAUUCUAACACCCCCACCUCGUACUCUCACGGGACUCUAGGAACCAAGUAUCGGCAACUAAGGAGGAUUCAGGACUCCCUUGCAAGGCUGUGGCCUUUAAAAGCAAAUGUCUGAAUGACCAUCUUUGGUAUGGAGUCCACUCUGCAGACUUGCUAGGAUGUCUAUAGACAGCACUUGCUUUCAGCUUUAGACAUGGAU